rnacentral:lncRNA from 1 species
CCCCAUAGAUCCCCCCCUAUAACCAUUCUGGCCCCAUAGAGACCCCCCAGCUCCCUCCUGCCCCAUAGAUCCCCCCAUAGACUCCCCCUAUAACCCUCCUGCCCCCCCCCCAGGCCCCACCCGGGACCCGUCCCGUCGGCAGAGGGAGCAGCAGAGACGCCGGGAGUUGGAAGCGAAGAGGGCGGAGAGAAGGGGGGGGUCGCGGGGGGGACCCCCCAAAUUGGGGACAAGGAAACAAGACUGAAACCGGGAGGGGGGGAUAUGGACCUAAAUAAAGGUAUAUGGGGAACUACAAAUCCCAGCGUGCCUUGUGUGGCGCGGUUUGAUGACGUCAUAGCAGUGCGGUUGGUGGUCACGUGAGGGAAAAUGGCGGCGCGCGGCGGCGGGAGGAGGAAGCGGAGGGAUGAGGUGUGAGGGCUGGGAGACGAGCGGGGAUUGGUUGGGGGAGCGUCACGUGAUAUCGCGGCUCCGCCUCCACCCUGCAGGACCCUCGUGUGCGGCUGUCGAAGGCGCUGAGCUUCUUCCUGCGGCACGGAGCGCGAGAUGCGGGGCUGCACAUGGCCGACGAUGGUUUUGUGGAGGUGGGGGCCCUCCUGAAGCUUCCUGCCUUUGCCGGGGUGUCAGUGGAGGAGCUGAGGGAUGUGGUGGAUUCCGACCCCAAAGGGCGCUUUGCUCUGCGUCCCAACCCGCUCAGCGUCAGAGCCAACCAGGG